UUCCCAUAAACCUGCUCAUCACACAGUCUCAGACGCUCCCUUGUCUCCUUGAGGUCCAGCGUGAGUAAGGAGCACAUGGAGCAGGAUGCAGCCCGGGCCUCUGGAGCCUCCUUUCACCCUCUGAGCCUAAUAAACAUGAAGCUAAACACUCCUGAUAUAAAACACCAUCAGGGUCACAGUCCAACAGUGUGUGAGAUCAAAUAUGAAACCAACAGUCAAACAUAUCAAAUAUCACAAAGUGUCAGGGACAAAGAGUUAAAGCUGGUAAGGACGCUCCAGCUGUGACAUUCUGGCUGACUCAGCUGAGCUGACAGCUGGUGUUCUUAUAUUGUUGUUUAUUUACUUUUUGUUUCCAGAGGAACACACAUCUACUCUGUAAAGAUGAAUCAAACUAUAAUAUAAUAUAAACGUCUUCACUACAUAUGAUCCAUCAGCAGAGGUGGAAAAAGACCUGAAACAUUCUACUCAAGUAAAAAUAAAUAGUAGUUUGUUUAAAAUGUACUUAAAGUAGAAAUUACUUCCAACAACUUGAUGCACCACCAUCCACACAUCAAACAGCUGGAAU